UACGUAGGGGGCAAGCGUUGUCCGGAUUUAUUGGGCGUAAAGAGCGUGUAGGCGGUUUGGUAGGUCCGCUGUGAAAACUCGAGGCUCAACCUCGAGACGCCGGUGGAAACCAUCAGACUAGAGUCCGGAAGAGGAGACUGGAAUUCCUGGUGUAGCGGUGAAAUGCGCAGAUAUCAGGAGGAACACCGGUGGCGAAGGCGGGUCUCUGGGCCGGAACUGACGCUGAGGAGCGAAAGCGUGGGGAGCGAACAGG
rnacentral:rRNA from 1 species